rnacentral:rRNA from 1 species
AUUGAACGCUGGCGGCAGGCCUAACACAUGCAAGUCGAGCGGGGUUUUCGGACCUAGCGGCGGACGGGUGAGUAAUGCGUAGGAAGCUACCCGAUAGGGGGGAUACCAGUUGGAAACGACUGUUAAUACCGCAUAAUGUCUACGGACCAAAGUGUGGGACCUUCGGGCCACAUGCUAUCGGAUGCGCCUACGUGGGAUUAGCUAGUUGGUGGGGUAAUGGCUCACCAAGGCGACGAUCCCUAGCUGGUUUGAGAGGAUGAUCAGCCACACUGGAACUGAGACACGGUCCAGACUCCUACGGGAGGCAGCAGUGGGGAAUAUUGGACAAUGGGCGCAAGCCUGAUCCAGCCAUGCCGCGUGUGUGAAGAAGGCCUUCGGGUUGUAAAGCACUUUCAGUAGGGAGGAAGGGUGCUGUGUUAAUAGCACAGCAUUUUGACGUUACCUACAGAAGAAGCACCGGCUAACUCUGUGCCAGCCGCCGCGGUAACAC